GGUUCAUGUGCCACGUGGAAUCAAUCCACGCGCUGCCGGAGCGCGAACUCCCUUCCGAGUUCCAUGUGUAGAUCACUGAUGGCAUUAACAUCCCUCAGGGCUUCAUCACGUUGCCUCUCUGCUCAAAGAGUCUUUAGGAUUCGGGAGGAUCCAAAAGCGGAGCCAUCCUACAAAGCACAGAUCAUCAGCCCAGACAGACCCCACAAUUCAGCCCAGAUGGAUGGACACAAUAUGCAGAUCCUGGUACCAGGAGGUCAAGCCUGAUUUCACUCCCUUAGGCAAAGGAGAGAGGAAGUCUGGGUCCAGGGAGGAAUGGAACAUGCUGAACACCUCUAUUGUUUCAUUGUGUUUCCUUCUCUACUGUUCCUCACGAGGAAAGACCCCAACACAGCUGUAUGUGGUGAGGUGAUAAUUCGACGCA
rnacentral:lncRNA from 1 species